CCCCCCACCACCCCUCUCUCGCGUUAACUAACAAUCCUUCUCAUUCUCUAUUUCUCUAUCCCCCCCCCCCUCUUUAACAAGGCUCGUUGCAGUAAGUCUCAAGUGCGCCUGGCAGCCCCCUUUGGAUGGCGACACCAUGCGAGUCUGUCAACUCCCAACUCUCUUCUUUUUUUUUCAAAUACGAAGCCGUCACUUUCACACUUGAUCAAUAACAAAUCGGCUGUUGUAUGCCAGGAUAUGGGGCUUGCAAGAUACCGGCAGGAAUUAAACAGGCGCUCCACUGCUGUGCUCUCUUUUUGUUAUUCUUUCUUUGUGCGCAAAAAAAAAAAAAAAAAAAGUCGUCAUUUUAAGUAUGUGCGUUAAAUCAACAGAACGAUGCUCCGUGAUCUCCGCGCGCCAUGUGGUAAAAUCCGCAAUGGGAGUUUCAAAUGGAUUACUACUAUUGUGCACGUCGACUUUCUAACGCCAGACGAGUAUUGCAUUGGUAAGAUAUAUGACAACUGAAAAGUAAAAGUAAGAUGGCGCAAACAUUACUCGGCCGGACAACUCUAUCAGGGUAGUUGUCGUAUGUAAACAAACUUUGAUUUAUCGACAUUGAUAUGUAUGUAAUUGCUGAAGGAUGUUUUGUCUGCGCCGUCACUUGUGUUUGAACGAUUUACUGUGGCGACGGCUAAAUAGUGUUUGCAGUAGAUCCUGGAGUAAACCAGUCAGAUACACACUCCCAGAAAGUCAUAAACCCUCAAGUCAGGGCGAAAAUAUUAGUGCCAACUACACCAAAUCCGCCUGGACCAGUUCAUGUAAUCUCAUUUGAUCAUUGCUGAUACACUGGGUAGCCUAGAUUUAUUUAAUAUGCCACUGUCAUCGGCAGUUACUUUUUUAAUAUUUAGUAGACUUUAGACACCCGGGGAAAAUGUCUGCUAUGCGUUGGUCUAGAUAAUAAAAUCAUUAUUGUUAGUAGUAGCAGCCUAGUAUUAUUUCUGAUCAAUAUUUUAAUGAUAAUUUGUAGAGCUUUCAUCAUUAAAUUUGCCGGGUUUGCACGUUGCGGUUGACGUGGCUUUAAAAGCAAAUAUUAGCAGGCGCUUCUAAACAUUAUCCACUAUGUUUCAGCCAUCUCCAAGCCAUUUUCAUUCUGGUGAUCGACUUUCCAGUUCAAGUCUCAGAUAAGCCGAAAGGGAUCGCUGUAGGCGCUGCUAAAGAGUGUGUGCACACACGGUCACGUGUCUUUUUACGCUCUGAAAACCUCUAGAGAGCAAAGAAUGAUGACGCUGGUACAGUGGGAGCCGAGAGAGACAGAGAGAGGGGGGGGGGUGGGCAAAUAAAGAAAGAAGGAUGGAUGCACAAAGCGACCCUACAGUAGAGCCUAAUCAGAUGACAGUGAUACGAUGAGACCUAGUUUCACAGCCUCCUGUAGUGUUCAGACAAUCAACUAAUUACUGGAACUUUUCUCAUAACAACACCUACAAGAAGAACCAGCUGAUUCCGCUGCUGCUGACAAUUAUUCCUUACUUGUGUUAAAGGUGGGGGAAAUAGCACAAUAAUACCUCGCGUCACGAGUAGACGCGUAUAGAAUUAUUGUCCGCCAUGUAGGCUAUAUUCCGAGAUAUAAAAUAAAACUUCCACAUUUUUAUAAUACUUUGUGCCAGUCGAGCUGUUAAAAAAAAUCGCAUGCAGAAUUAGUGGCAUCUUUUCUUUAAUUUAUUUAUUGCAUAAACGAUGCGACAAAGUCAACAGAGGAGAGAGUCUGUGUCAUGUGUCCUCCUUAAUGCGUUUUGGUUCAGAGUUGCUCUCGGGAUUAGGAGGAGGACCCGUGGCUUGAGCUCACGGAGCCUUUAGUCAGGAGCAGGUUAUGAGAACUGCUCCCACCUCUCAGCGCUGCGCUGAUAACGGAGGAGGUGUAGAUCCAUGUUGAGGAAGUCUUCUCAUGUCACCAAGCAGUCAGUGAAAUGCACCCCUCCCAACCCCCCAACACACACACACACACACGCACACGCACACACACACACUUGCAGACUUGCAAACUUUACUGUGGCAGUAAAGUUAAAUUCACUUUAGUUACUCUUUGCAGUAAUAAUUAUUGGACAAACGUGCAUAUAUGCUCUAAUACAACGCUCAGUUCUGUAUUUAUAACUGUCAUAUUUUUUUCUGUUUCAAAUAAUUUAAUUAGCUCUCCUAGUUUUUAGGAAUGCUAUUGUUGCUACACUUAUGUGAUUGUUUAUAUAGAAAGGUUUAAUGUUUUACCUGAUACAAAUCACAACCAUUGCUCACAUGCGCUGAUGCACAGUUCAGAUGAGAGAUGAUUUUAUUUGGAUUUGAAAAUCACACAAUUUACAUGAAGCACAAUGAGCCAAUGUGGCUUUCAGGAGAGAACAUCUAUUUUCUGAUCUCUUUUCUGUUCUUGUGAUCUCUUUUUCUUUCAUCGGCCCGAAUGAAGAUGUAUGGAGUGGGUUGUGUGUCUUCAGUUUACUCCUGAUGGGGCCUGUCUGCCCCCAUGAUCCCCGCAAGGCUGAGUGGCAGGGCUCUGGAUUGGCUAAGUGAUGAAAUGAUGACCCUAUUAUGAGAAGUGAUUCCAAAAUGAGAGGUAUCAGACAAAGAUUGCACCCUUCUCUCACUGCCACGCCGUCCCCCUGCACCACACUGCCAGCUGCGCAGAUGAUGAUUGAUUCGCUCGAGAUGGAUCACAGGAAGCACCCAUUGAUUUUUCAGUGUUUUAUCAAAAAUAUUUAUUUACAGUUGUAUCCAUAGGGCGUAUCCAGACUCACCCCAUAUCCCCUUUUCCAAAUGGGGGAUGGAAUAAAAGGGAUAAUUCUCCCUACUCCAUGACAAGACAAAUGACCUGUAAUAUUAUUUCAGAAAUGAGUCAAUAGGCUCAGUGACUAAACGAAUAUUGAUUGGAUAUAAUGAAGCCUGAGUGUGACUAUGAGCUCUUUCAGGGGCCCUGCUGCAGACUCCACUGUCAGCAUCUAUAUAGUGAUGCCAGACCUCUCCAACUGAGUGUUUUACAGACGUGCUACUACAGCUGGGACAAAAUAAACAUGUUAAUGAAUAUCACAGAUGGUGAAUCCACAUACUCAACAUUCCCCUAUUCCUCUCACUGGUGUGUACCUGUAUAUUUUGAUUCAUGAUCUGAGAGCUUCCGUGCCUGACUGUUGUCUAACCAACCAGACGUAAGGCUAAAUAGCAUGUUUGUUUAGAAGGUGCUAUAGGUGCCAUAUGGUAAUCAUCUAAAUCCCGUACUGCUUAAAGCUGUGGAUGCAUGUAGGAGGUACUCCUGCAAUGCCUUCAUGAAGGUAAAGUGAUACAAUGUACUAAUCAAAUGACUACCAGAAUGCUAAAACCACAGUGUGGGAGCUGUGCCCUAGAUAUUUGCACUGACUUAAUCCAAUUGAAAUAGUAUGAGUGAGUUGCAGGGGCUCCCAGGUCUGUUGCUUGCUUAUGUAUGUGAUGCAUAAUAGAAGUUGACGAGGUUGGUGAUAGAUCACAGCCCAGGUAAUGUAAACACAUUAAUCCCUCAGGGUUCAUGUGCAUGUUCUUUCUCUCUUUUUCUCUUUCUCUUUCUAUCAGCCUCUCUCUCUCUCUGAGCACCCCCCCAUGUUCAUCAUCUUCCCUAAAUGCGUUAGUGGAGCACAAACCAGAAGCAGCCUUAAUCUGUCAACAUGCCCUUUAAUUGGAGGGAGAAAACAACACGUGCUUCUGGUUGUGCCAUUCCUAAGUGCACAUGCCAAAGAAACACAGAGUUCACAGAAGAAGUGAUCCCGGGAGAGCUGGGAAUAAUUAAAAGUAUCUUUUAAUAGGCUUGUAAUGCUGAGCCUGACUCUUGUUGCCUUAAGUAGAGGGCAAACUCUGUGGCUGGAGACGGACAUGCGGGGGACUUCUGCUGAGGGAGCCUGUAAACGAUACAUUGCCUGGCCGUCAUCAGACAUGCAGUCUCUGCCUGUCACCACACUCGGGACAACAACAGCUUUCCACCCCUGCUGCGGACACCUCGGCUCACCUAUUCCCAUGUUCUUUUGUUCCCCAAAUGAGGGAUUCUCCUCCACAACAUCACCUCUCCUCCUCUCCGCCCGGGCCACUCUGGCAAGUUGUGUUCUACCUCCUACUCACAGCACCGGUGGGGAGUGAGAAAUGGGACUAAGGGGUUGAUUUGGGGCCUGCUACACUGUAAUCAAAUGAGACUGCUUAGGGGAGAGGAAAAGGAGGAGGUGGAGUAUUAUGUUCUGUCGUGCAUUCCACUGCAGCAUUGUUGCUUUUUUGUUUUUGUCAGGGCAGACUUUGAUGCUGUAUCCCCUUACCUUUGUAGUCCCGGCAGCCAUGUUUCAUAAACACAGAAUGGGAAACAUCCUCAGCAUUAGAAAUUUAGAUUGCUGCUUUCCUCCUGCCACUCUGCAUUCCGCACGUGCCCAGUCGCAUUCUCCUUCUCCCAGUGCUGAGGUAUUAAGUUUCCUCUCCCAUGCCUCUGAUACAUUUAAACAUCUUACAAUCAGCCUCUUUUAUUCAGUGUGUCAUGUAUAAUCUGUGGCAACAACAAUGCCAACAUGGCUCUAUGUUCUUUUCUCUCUCUUGGUACUGAAGUAUUCCGCUGCCACUGUUUUGUUUCAGGACAAUUGCACAUCCAAAAAGCCUACUUGCUUGAAAUUGAGAAGGGGCCAGGUGUUCAAUUUAGACCUUGUCUUUAUGAUUGAGAGUGCAAUAUUAAUAUCAAGCUAAGCAUUCUAUAGUAUACUCUUUUGUGUUAUCACACAGGGAAUAGUCAGUGCUCAGUUGUCUUUGUAGUUAACUGAAAAUCUCAAUGGGAUACAGUGUAAUGUUAUUCUAAAUCUAUCUUAACUCAUUAAAACCCAAAGUGUUCA